rnacentral:tRNA from 1 species
GGGCCUGUAGCUCAGUGGAUAGAGCGUCUGUCUCCGGAACAGAAGGUCAAGGGUUCGAAUCCCUCCAGGCUCA